CAUUGUCCUAAAACUACACAUCGGUAACUAUAAAUAUCAUGUUAUGGUAACUGUGGAGACUAUACACACAGUCUACCGCACUCUACACUUCUUAUCGAAACUCACAUUUAUUGAUUUAUUCAUAUGUGUGCCACCAUAUUUGAUAUUUGAUGGACAUGAAAAUUAAGUCAUUGUGAUUUUAGCUGUUGUGACCUUCAAACAUAUAUCGUCUAAGUAGCCAUUUUGGAUAAAAAUAAUUGAUAUUUAACACGUGCAUUUAAUCGUGAAUUUUAUCGUACAUUGUAAAUGUAAUUGUCAUUUGGUUUUAAUCGGGCAAUUAUUAAAAUACUUCUAAUUCAAUAUCGUUUCAUAUUUUUGUUCCAUUUGCUUUAGAAUGUCAAGAAAAUACGAUACUUCCUGGGCAGGUAUCAUGAUUGAAAAAAAUACGAAAGUAGCGGUACCGGUGAAAGAUAUUCACAAGUUUCACCCGGAGAAAUACGACAAAAUGAAGUAUUAUUUUUUUAAUUAUGGCGAUUCAGUGUAGAAAGGUUUAAUCCUCGGAACUGAAGGUAUACGCUGGAAAUAAUCGAUGGAUCCCACAGAUAAUUUUUGACCAAUUAAUGGGAGCAACAAAACCAACUAUGUUUGUUAACCGAGCAGCUGAUUUCUUUUUUAGCAAAAAGACGCUUCUUGAAAGUUCCGUAACUGGUCAAACUUCCCAUUGAACUAAAAAUAAAAAUGAUGAAUCGCUUAAACAAUUAGAUGAAAAUAUUCUGCUUACCAUGUCAGGUUUGUUUAAACAUUACUUGAGUCAUUCUAUUUUUACGAAAUCAUUGAAAUCGUUCGAAAGAACUCAAGAGGUGGGAAAAAUGAGACAACAUAUAUCUAAAUAUAUUGGAAAUCUUAAAGAUAAAACAAAUAAUCCUAAAAAAAAGAAGCAGUCUAAAGAAAAAGUAAAUAAAGAUAUCAGAACAGAUGUAAAUGUUGAAGGAGAAGACUAUGAAAAAGGUGGAAACAAUGACAAUAUCGAAGAUGAUAAAAGUUAUGAAGAAGAAAAUGAGGUGGAUGAAGGAAUAAAAGAAAAAUAUCGGCAAUUUUUAUAUAAAGAAUCUGAAAGUGAUGACGGAAAUGACAAAAAUAAAUAAAAUAACAACUUUUACUCUGCUUCAAUAUUUAUAAAGGGCAUUAAUAAAUAAAGUUUUUACAUUGAUAAAUUUUGAUUACUCUUAGGUACUACCACUUUUUCAUUUGAUCUUCUUGAUAAUGUUUAAUUCUCUACAGAAAAUUCAGAUGUAUUGAAAGUCUUGUAUUUUAAAUCGUAUUUAAUGUUAUUCAAUCCUUCAUGAAUGAUUAAAUAUCAUUAAAAAGGAUCUAAGAGUAAAGACUUUCAAUACAUUUGAAUUCUCUGUGGAAAAUUAAAUAGAAUCAAGAAGAAUUCAAAUUUAGAAAUUGUCAAUACUUUUUAAUUCUCUGUAGAGAGUUCAGUAGUAUUAAAAGUCUUAUAUUUUAAAUCCAAUUCAAUACUAUUUAAUCCUUCAUGACGAAUUAAAUAGAAUAAAUAAUGCUGAAUUCUUUUUGAUUCUAGGCGGAGAACUAAAAAGUAUUGCCAAUUGCAAGUGUAAAUUCUUUUUAACACUUUUCAAUUCUCCAAGGAGGAUUGAAUAGAAUGAAAAGCUAAUAAUACUGAAUUCUUUUUAAUUCUAUUUAAUUCUCUGUGGAGAAUUGAAAAGGAUACGAUUGAUUUUUAAUUCUCAUUAAUCCUCUUUCUUAACGGGAGGAUUAAGAAGUAUUGAAAAUUCCUUAAUGUGAAUUCUCCUCAAUUCUAUUUAAUUCUCUGAAGAGAAUUGAAAAGUAUUGAAAAUUCCGUAAUAUGAAUUCUCCUCAAUUCUAUUUAAUUCUCUAAAGAGAAUUGAAAAGUAUUGAAAAUUCUAAAUAUGAAUUCUCCUUAGUUCUAUUUAAUUCUCUGAAGAGAAUUGAAAAGUAUUGAAAAAUUCCUUAAUGUGAAUUCUCCUCAAUUCUAUUUAAUUCUCUGAAGAGAAUUAAAAAGUAUUGAAAAUUCCUUAAUGUGAAUUCUCCUCAAUUCUAUUUCAUUCUCUGAAGAGAAUUGGAAAGUAUUGAAAAUUCCUUAAUGUGGAUUCUCCUCAAUUCUAUUUAAUUCUCUGAAGAGAAUUAAAAAGUAUUGAAAAUUUCUAAAUGUUACGUCCCAGCCUGCUCGUCAGAUGUCUCUGACUAUUUUUAAAUACUAAUUAUUAAGAGACCGAUCUGAGACCUAACUAAUUAUUUAAGAUGUAUAUUGAUAAUUUAGCAAGUUGCAUAAUUAAUAAGUUACUUUAUAUUAUAGGAUAUAAUAUAAUGUAAUAAUAUAGCAUAACAUAAUAAUAUAAAAUAAUAUGAUAUUAUUUAGAAUAUUUGAAACAUAUUGAUAAAGUUAUUUUUCUCUUAAUAUUUGUUAUGUACAAAUAAACGCUGACGCCUCGAGUAAAUCCUCGAGACGUGCAGCUGCACAAACAUCUAUUUUGUUCUAUGAUAACUUUGUUCAUAGAUAAGUGACUCAUUUGUUAAUAAUAAAAACGGAGAAAGCGUGAGAACAGAGAAUGGAUUAUUCGAGAAUAUUGCUUAUCACGAUCCACCCCUCUAUAUCGAACGAUGCGCGGGCCUGAUGCCCAAGCGCCUCGUAUUGAUAAGAGACUUACUCUAGUUUUCCUCGAUCAAGAGAAUUCAGUCUGAAAUAUAGAAUCAUAGAGAGCAGUCAGGCUCAAUACUAAAUACUAAACUUCUUUCUCACCCUUUCGAAGUUAUUGUUAGACGAACUUUAACAAUUUAUAAAUUGAUUCAAUUGUAUAUUUUCACAUUAUUGAAAUUAUUCUUUUACAAUUGAAUAAAUCGGAUUGAGAUAUAAAAUAAUAACCAGUUUAUUUCAACUACCGAAUGGUGGCUGUUCAACCCCUACUAAAUAAUUAUUUAUAAUUAUAUGUAAGUACUCAUUACGUCCAAUUCAAAUCGACCGCUCAACCACACCAGCGCCAAAACAUCAACCAGGACGUAACAACUUAUUAUAUAAUUAAAAUUGGUGGCAGCGACGGAUUCGAACAGCCCCCGAAUAGACUGGUAAAAUCUCAAAAAUCCGAAAAUUUUUUUUUACAAAAAUUAACAUCAAGUUCUCAAAGUGAAAUUGAGCAACACAAAAAAAAAUAUUACAAAUUUUUUUUUGUCGACAUCGGAAAUUUUUUUUUCCUAAAUAAAGAAAAAAAAAGAAGUAAAAUUGUGAAACA